rnacentral:rRNA from 1 species
UACGUAGGGUGCGAGCGUUGUCCGGAAUUAUUGGGCGUAAAGAGCUUGUAGGCGGUUUGUCGCGUCUGCUGUGAAAAUCCGGGGCUCAACCCCGGACUUGCAGUGGGUACGGGCAGACUAGAGUGUGGUAGGGGAGACUGGAAUUCCUGGUGUAGCGGUGAAAUGCGUAGAUAUCGUAAGGAAGACCAGUGGCGAAGGCGGGUCUCUGGACAGUUCCUGACGCUGAGGCACGAAAGCAUGGGUAGCGAACAGG